rnacentral:rRNA from 1 species
GAUGAACGCUGGCGGCGUGCCUAAUACAUGCAAGUCGAGUGAACAGACGAGGAGCUUGCUCCUCUGACGUUAGCGGCGGACGGGUGAGUAACACGUGGAUAACCUACCUAUAAGACUGGGAUAACUUCGGGAAACCGGGGCUAAUACCGGAUAAUAUAUUGAACCGCAUGGUUCAAUAGUGAAAGACGGUUUUGCUGUCACUUAUAGAUGGAUCCGCGCCGCAUUAGCUAGUUGGUAAGGUAACGGCUUACCAAGGCAACGAUGCGUAGCCGACCUGAGAGGGUGAUCGGCCACACUGGAACUGAGACACGGUCCAGACUCCUACGGGAGGCAGCAGUAGGGAAUCUUCCGCAAUGGGCGAAAGCCUGACGGAGCAACGCCGCGUGAGUGAUGAAGGUCUUCGGAUCGUAAAACUCUGUUAUUAGGGAAGAACAAAUGUGUAAGUAACUAUGCACGUCUUGACGGUACCUAAUCAGAAAGCCACGGCUAACUACGUG